CAAAAUAGAGCAAUUUUACGGUCCUUAAGAAGGUACCAUGAGGUACCACUUUUUUCUAUUGUAAAUUUGGUACCUCUUGAUAUCUAUGUACUAUUAGGUACCAAAUUUUACACUGAAUUUUUUUUUGUACCUUAUGGUACCUCCUGAAGGACCGUAGAAUUGCUCAUGGU
rnacentral:misc_RNA from 1 species